CGUCAUUCAGUGUCUCGUUUUGGUUUGUUUUUUGUUUUGACAACGUGUUCUACAAACAAUUCUUUUUAACCAAGAAAUCAUCAAUCAUAAUCAUUUCAAUGACUUUAAAGGAUUCUGAUUGACUGGUGGCAGAAGGGGUAUGAAUAUAAAGUGGCAUUAAGGCCUUGCAGACAGACUUAACAAUAACAUGCUGAAGUUGCAAUAACAGUUUGACGAAGACCCACAUGUAAUCCCAUAUUGACGGUUGUAGAACUCGUACCAACAGAUUUCACUUUGGGAUAUAAUGGCAAGUUGGGAUGAGGUAAGUUUU